UCAUUCAAAUUAAAUUUUCCAAUCAACGCACAUUCAAACUUCCCCUACCAAUUCAAUCCAAUAAACUCUAAACCAUUCAAUUCUAUGCGCAUUCCAUUCAUAACAUUCAUUCAAUAUACAUUAAAACCAUUUCCAUUUAUAACCCAAUUAAAUAUUUCACUCAAUAACAUCCAUUACAUUACAAUCUCAUUCAUAAAUUAACAACCUAUAAUCUUAGCCCAAAUUCCUAAUUUAUUUACAAUUCCCAAGUUAGCUCUUUCAUUCCAAGCAAUUAACUCAACAAAAUGCAUUCACCCAUACCAAAUCGAGCAAAACCCUUCAUUCUGAACACACAAGCGAGAACCCUGCGCAUUGAACCACCAAAUCAACCCUGCACAUGCAUCAUAACAUUUCGAAUCAGUAGAACAAAUGCACCCUGCAAAAAUUCUUGUGACAGAAAAUUAACAUUGCCCCGCAUAAUACAUUCAUACAACCCUGUAGAAAAUCAUGACUGCAAACAUUCCCUGCAAAUUUCAAUUCAGCAGAACAUCAAAUUGAGCUCCACUAUAUGGUAACAAGAGCAUAAUGCAGAGAAUCAAAACUAACCUACUAACUGAAAUUGAAUUUGCUAACUAACUCUAACAAAUUUGCAUUUCAUUUCCAACUGACUUAUGAAUUUCAAUGAAAUUUCGUUUUCAUUUCGUAACAGAAUUCAAAUUCAAUAAAUUAAAAUCUCUUCACUCAUUCAAGGGCCACGAGUCCAAAAUCGUAGAACACCAAAAAUCACUAAACACACAAAUCAGUUUUCACUCUUCACUCUCAAUUUCCCUUCAACUCAGGGAACGGAUCAUAAAUCAAGAGCACUCUUCACUCUCAAUCUCUCUUUAACUCAGAGGUACGAUUCUUCAUUUUCUUUCAGGAUUCAUCACUCAAGUAGUAGAAGAAGAAACCUAUAUCAGAGAAGGAGAAGAAGGAUACAGAUGAUUGAUACCUAUUUUUUCCACCGCGUCAAAUUUGGUCAAUUCUUCUUCUUGCUUCAAUAAAUGAUUCGUCUCGAUUUCGCGUUUCCCUUUGAUACGAUGCAAUUGUGUUUUGGUUUCAGUGGAUGAAGUUGAUGUUGGACACGAAUAUGAUUUCUUCUUUGAUUUUGUGGUUUGUUUUUUCGAUGAGCAUUGUACAUUUGAAAUGAGAUGCGAGAGGGAGAUAAUGUGUGAGAUUGUGGACGAAGAGAGAAGCUCGUACACGAUGGAUUACCGAAUUUUGACCUGGUUUGUUUGAUGCAUUAG
rnacentral:lncRNA from 1 species